CUGGAGAAAGUGCGGCUUCUCGUGGUCACUGUGGAAGAGGAACUGCCCCGAAGCAGCUCGGGGGAAUUUUAAUGGUGGAGUUGGAGACCACUGCUGAGAGAGAACGACUUUAGGAGCUGAUCUGAUGCCAAAUCUCUCCAUCUGGAAGCAUGAUCAUGGCAUACAGCUGUUAACGAAGUCUUCAAAACAUCCCAGAGAAAUCAGUUUUUGCAUACUCACUACUGAUGGCUGUCAGCUCUACUAAUUCUCCGUCCUGACUGGGAAAUGGAUCUUGGCCCCAGUUUAAGUGGACGGCUGGUUUCUUUCAUUACUCUGGGGGUUUGUUUGUCUUAACUGCCCGUUAUUAGGACAGUGAACUUCCGAGCCCGUGCCGGAAUGACUACCACAUGUUUGUGCUUUGAAAUUCCAGCCAAAACAAAAGAAUAAAAAUUCUCCACACAAUUCCCAUGAGGAGGACUGCGGAAAUAACCAGGCGGUCUCACAGAGUAUGGAAAUCCAUUCUUUUCUUAACCGCACCGCCCGAAGGGUUAAAAACCCAUCCGGCACAUUUACGGUAUUCUGCACCCGUUUUCUCUAAUUGUGCCUCCUGGAAACCUUUGGGAAUAAUGCAAACCUGGAAAUGAAACCCUUUCCCUUUGGGGCCAACUGUACAUGAACCUGAACGCAAAGAGGACUCACUACAAAGCAAAACUUUAGUCAGAUCUCUAUGAAGUGAUAAAGUAUCUCCUGGCAGAAAUGCACCAAUGUGAACUCCAGAAAUCUGCUGGUAUUUGGUCUUUCUUUGUUCUUCCUGGGGCAUUGGGUUGGGUUGGAUCCAAUCUGACCAUGUCUGGAUGCAAUGAAUACCAUUGAUGCGGUGAAGAGGAGCGGAGAUAUAAAACACACACACACACACUUGAGAUAAAAGGAGCAGCGAGCUGCGGCUUGAAGCGUCUCGCCGGGUGUGUCUGUGGACAUGCCACUCAUUCCUGGUUGCAAUCAACAAAGUGAAACCAAAUGAGGGUCUGUGUGUGGGUGGACUUGCGUGUGUGAAUGUGUGUGUGUUUUAUGAUAAGGUCUGGUGGUGGUGAGUGAUUGUAUGAUGGAUUGGACAGGAGGCGCAACUGACAUCUGCGCCGUAAACAAGAAUGACUCAGAGAAACACAAAUCAGUUUCAUUAGUUCAGCAGAUUCACCCAUCAGAGACAUUUAGUGUACAGCAAAAAUAAAUGUGCUUUUAAAUGUUUACCUGCAUAAAAAUCUGGUCACCACUCAUUUAGAAAUGAAGGAAUACACCAUGAGAGCCCAUGUGUUAAAACAAAAUCUUAAUAAAAUCAUAAUAUUAUUAGUACCAAGCUAAAUUAUUAACAACUGCCUAGGCUAACAUUGCUUAGCACUGAUACAGAGGAUUCAUAAACAUAUGAUUUUCCCAUUUCUGUAUAAACAGAAUUACAGUCAAGGAGUUUGACUCUAUAAUAUUUCAUCGAAAGUAGUCUAAAGGUACACCUCAUCACACACACAACCAGUUGAUCUCCAUUAGACCAAUUUAAACCCAAUUUAAGGCUUCGAUUUCCUUCCUGGAAUCAAUCUGAAUGAGUGUUUGUGCCAUAAAGCCCAAAAUGUAACCUGCUAACCUGUUGCUAUAACUGUAUAAUUAAUCAUAAUUUUUUACUGCAGUACUGUGUAAAAAUCCAUGAAAUUUUAGAAGUCCAAUCGAGAAGACAUAUCUUUAUAGGAUAUUGAAAAAGAAAUGUAAUGCACUAGUGAUCUUUUGAACCACAUUGUUCAUCUGCUUAUAAUUAAUUUGAUUUGAGAUACUAUAAAACAUUUGAAAGCGUAAAGCCAACAGUAUAACAUAUUUACAUCCUUCAGUUCUUAGAAUAAGUCGCCAUUUCAACGUUUUUAAUCGUUCAAUAUAAGAAUCAGAAGGAACAUUUUAUUGUGUUUUAUCAAGACAAACACUUUAUUCCUUCAAUGCUUUAUCAAGGUCCUGAUUUUUAUUGUAUUCUAUGAUUAUUUAUUUUUUUCCCACCUACCAGCUGUAACAUCAUGCAGAUGGUAAGGAUAGUAUUUAGUGUUUAAUACUCACAAUCGUUUUUUUUUUAAUAAUAGAUGUGUAAUAAAGACAGGUGAAGUCAACAGAAAAAAAAAGGUGACAGAGACAUCAAAAAUAAAUACAUCACCAUAUGAACACUGGUUUAAAAGAAAGCAUAAAUUGAUCACAUUCCUAAUGUAUGUUUAUUUUAUGAACAAAUGCAUAUUAUUAAAUAUAUAUGACAAAGACAACACAGUCUGCUGUGAGCUUCAGUUCAGUAUUCCAUUUCACUCAAAGAUAGAGCACAACAGGGGCGUAGAUUACGCGGGGGACACUAGGGACGUGUCCCCCCCCACUUUUAUCAUCAAGGAACUUCAUCCCCUGCACUUUUUCGGGCAAGUGUAUUCGUAUAGAGGUUUUCAAGAGCUGGUGUGAAGAAAUAUAGAUUUAAACUCAAAGAGACAGGAUAGUCUGCGCAU